GCAAAACUCCUCUCUCUCUCUCUCUCUCUCUCAACAUUUUGAGGUUUGGAGAGAAAACAUUAUCUCGAUCUCUGUCUUCUCUCAGCCCUCGAUCUCAUUGUUCUCUUGGCUCUUAAUCUCUCUGUUCUCUCGAAUCUGGGGAAGAAUUUGCUGGAAUGGAAGAAUUUUCCAAGAGAGCUAAACACCCUAGAAUUGCCCUUUUCUCCUUACUCUCACACCCUCAGCUGCAAACUCCCUUAAUCUCUCUUUCCCCGACUUCUCUUUCUCUCAUUGUCACCUCUGCUCUCCCCAGAACGGCCAUCUCCGGCGGUGACAAGCUUACACGAACAUCAUCAUUCCAUUUCUUUCACAAAACCGACCAAGAUCCAAGUGAAAUUGGCAACAUUCAUCAAACUUAGCUAUUGCGUGAAGCCUCCACAGUUCCUCCAUCUUACUCAGUCUCAAUCUCACCAUUGAGAUCUUGGACUUAGAGUGAGCUAAUUGAGGGGCUCUAGAGUUCCUCCAUCGACCCAAAGUCCUCCACUUCAGUCGAUAAUCGCAGAACCCUUGUCUUAUUAACUUCAGUUUGCUAUGGCAACCUAAAGACUGCUUCCACCGAUCAAAACCUCAAUGAGAUUCUUCUUCAAAUUAAGUCCUCCAAAGCCCCUGUGUCGAGUGUGUAGCCAGAUUCUUCCUGCAUUCGGCAAGCUAAGUGACAGCUUCCCAAAGCUUUUGUUUGUCUAUGCAGAUAUAGAUGAGUGCCCUGAAACAACUCAGCACAUUCAGUAUACGCCAACGUUUCAAUUCUACAGAAAAUGGUAAGAAGGUGGAUGAGAUGUUUGGUGUCGGCGAAGAGCCGCUUCAUGAUGGCUUGUGGUUGCACUCUUGAAGAUGAUGAUGAUGUAGGAAUGACAAAAAUGUCUAGGUGUUUCCAACUGUGAAAUUUCCCCUAGGAUGUUUAGUAUAAGUGUUGUGAAGUCACCGACACUGAACAAUAUCAUUGGAGUAGUUCAUCAUUUCUAAUCUUGUAACUUUAUUUUCUUUGGUGCAUGAUCUAUCAUCUAUGUACAGUUCAUUGAUGUUGAUGUCUAUUUAAUAUAAAUUGUUUUUAUUUUUAGUAAAGGGUAAGUGGACGGAAUCUACUAUAUGGAACACUAUUGUGGAUCCAUUAAAUGGGGAACCAUUCAUUAAAGUUGAUGAAAUUGAUGUGUAAAGGUGUUCCUGGUUAAGAUGUUGUUUUGUUUUUUUUGCUGGACCGUUUAGUUUAUACUUCCUACUUGUUCAGGGAAAGUUGAAAAUGUAAAACCAGCUUCAGCUAAGAGAAAUGAUGGCAAACCUGAUUCUUCUGGAAAGCAAAGGGUUAAGAUUGAAGAACCAACUAAAGAUGAGGCUGAUUAAGAUGAUUCGGUUGACUCGAGUGAUGAUGAUUCUGAUGAGCAAGAUAAAGACACCCCCCCCCCCUUGAGAAGG